rnacentral:rRNA from 1 species
CACGUAGUUAGCCGUGACUUUCUAGGUAAUUACCGUCAAAUAAAGGCCAGUUACUACCUCUAUCUUUCUUCACUACCAACAGAGCUUUACGAGCCGAAACCCUUCUUCACUCACGCGGCGUUGCUCCAUCAGACUUGCGUCCAUUGUGGAAGAUUCCCUACUGCUGCCUCCCGUAGGAGUUUGGGCCGUGUCUCAGUCCCAAUGUGGCCGAUCAGUCUCUCAACUCGGCUAUGCAUCAUUGCCUUGGUAAGCCGUUACCUUACCAACUAGCUAAUGCACCGCAGGUCCAUCCAAGAGUGAUAGCAGAACCAUCUUUUAAACUCUAGACAUGCGUCUAGUGUUGUUAUCCGGUAUUAGCAUCUGUUUCCAGGUGUUAUCCCAGUCUCUUGGGCAGGUUACCCACGUGUUACUCACCCGUCCGCCGCUAGCUUGUAUCUAGUUUCAUUUAGUGCAAGCACUAAAAUCAUCUAGGCAAGCUCGCUCGA